UGGCUUAAUGUAAAUUAACUCUAAAAUAAUUUUCAGUUGGAAUAGGGCAGCAAAAAGAAUUCCUGUGUUUUAUCAUCAGCAUGUUGUUUUUCUUUGUUUAAUUGUGAACUUCCUUCCCCUUUUAUGCAGCUGAAGCACAUAAAAUAGGAUGCUGAGAUGAUUAAGGAUGAAUAUCCCAACUAGAGUUCAGCUGAAACAUAUAAAAUUGAAUAUUUGAUCAGACUGCAUUUUUUUUUUGAUUUAAGAAUAUCCAAACUACUAUAUGAGUUAAAUUUUUACGUGUCGUAUGUAUUUAGGAUUUUUUUUUGCGUGUGCUCUUUAACAAGUCUUUCUGGAGCAAAAAAUUGAAGAAGCACACGAGCUCUCUAUAUAAUAGAGGAUCUUGAGUUGCAACUGAGUAAAGAGCAAGAAGAAUAUAAAAGAUUUUGAUUUUUAAUAUUUUUUAAUAUUUAUAUUCAAUUUAGAACCCUGAGCAUUUCCUUCUCUGCUUGAGUGGCAUUGAAAAUAUGACAAAACAUUACAGAGUGCUUCAAGACAAAAAGAUAAUAAUAUUACUUUUGCAUUCCGUUUAUUAAUUAUUGUUUACUUUGUAGGAUUACUUUGAAAUUGAAGAAGUUUAAUUAUUAAAGUCAUAGGCAUAAAGCACAACAGAAGCUAAAAAGGUCACAAGCCCGUCACAAGCCCGUCUUCAAAAGUUAGCUGAAAUGUUUGAUUUUGAAGCCAUAAAACCUGCAAAUGAAGAAUAUUCGAGUGCAAAUGUUCAUUAUGACGGUGGAUCAAAUGGUGAUUAUCAAAUAAAACCAAACAAUGACCGGUUGCAGAAUCUUUUUUUUUUUUUUGCAAGAAAAGAUCUUUGGCCUUUUCUAUCACAAAUGAAGAGGAAAAAGCAGGUGAGUCCUUAAGCAAUUCCUAUGUACAAGAAUUUUGGAUAUUUAUAAGAUUGUUUUCUUAUGGACUCAGAUUUUUAUU